GCGGGGCGGGACUAGCAGCGAUUGAGCAUGCGCCCUAUCGGGAAAAUGGCGGCGACGGAGCUCAGUUUGAGGUGUGAGGAUUUGGUUAUGUGGUCGCCUGGAUCCCAUUUGCUCACAUCGAACCGCACCUGAGCAGACUGAUUGCACUUGAGGUCAUUCAGUGGAGGAAUCACACUGCUAAAAUCUGAGGACAAUGUUUGGAAUGACUGGGAGGAACUUGCUGCCUAUUCUUCCAGAAUGGAGAAGACUUUUCCAUCAAGCUGUCUUUGCCUUUCGGAAUCAACAUCUUGCUGAUGAGUGACAGCACAGACAGAAAGAAAACAAACAGAUCCUGCUUUCCAGAUCCCAUUACUUCUACCCCACAAGUUCAAAGAUCUGCGGGUCUGUUCAGUAAUUUGAAUGUCCAGGGCAGAAAGUCAUGACACUGAGUUGACAUUAUCUUUGAAUCGAGGGCUUGCUGAACAGGACAAGUGGAAAAGUACAGCAGGAAACUUGCCCAACCAUUCUGGGCAAGGAGCAGAGAAUGUUGUGAAAUUCUAUCCUCGACUGACAUGGAUGGAUUUUAGAAACUCCUAUGACAGGGGAUUAGAAAGCGAGGAUUUAAAGACAACAAACUGAGCUCAAGAGAAACAUUUGUCUCUUUUGAUUAUCUAUCAUGGCCUGACUGUGAUGAAUAAUCCAUACAUAAUUUACAGGAUAUAAGGAGAAUUUGGAGAUCAAAACCAAACAUUCCAAUGAAAUUUGGACCUUGAUAUUAACAACUUUUCAGUUUAGGCAUUGAGUUCCAGGUUGUUUCCAAUCCCUGAUUUUUUUUUUCCUCACUUUCUGCACACACCUUCACACACCAGCCCAAAAUCUUCAGUCAUUGUAAUAUCAUCCUCAUUACAAUCACCUAAUGGAAUCCAUCUUCUCUUGAUCUACCUUAUGUAAUCUUUCCAAAAUUUCUACCUUUCAAUUCUGCCCUUUGUUUCCUUUACUGCAAAGAGAACAAAGUCAGUUUUUCCAACCUAAAAUUGUUCCAAAAACUCCUCAUCUCUUUUGAUGAACCUCCUCACCCUUUCAGGGACCCUCCCCUCCUUCAUAAUGUGUGGUGAACUCUUGUUUACUCAGACCUAUAUGGUCUGUGUUUGUACGUGAUGUCAUCAUGUGCUGACAACUGCAUGGUGUCAUGACCCACUCUCUGGGGAUAUCCUCAACUGUGAUAUUUUUCCCUAUUUUUAUGUUUUUACAAACGGGAACUUUAGUACAUCAGUGAGCUCAUGGGUAACAUAACAAGGCUCGGUGAACACAUAGGCAGCAGAGAUUGGAUCACCUCACUCUUGGAGGUCAACUGGGAGUGUGUAAAGAUAAUUAAAUCCUAAGGUAGCAAGGAAAUGAGAGUUUCGGGGCAGAUGAGCUGAGAUUAGAUUGGAGUAAGGCGAUGAUACUGAUAAGUAGUCUUGGGGAUAUGUGAUUAGAAGCUCAUCUUGGUAUAAACUGUUUCGCCGUGGUUUGAGCAGUCAGGUUCAGUUUCAGAUAGGAAGAGGGAUGGAGUCAGUUGUGAAGGAAUGGAAUUGGUAGUGGGGACUAAAGUGAAUGGCUCCAGUCUACCCAAGAUUUAAAUGGAAGGAAUUACUUCUCAUCCAGUAUUGGAUGUCAGAUAAGUCAGGACAGUGUGUGACUUGGCAGGAAAUUAGAGGUGAUGGCAUUUAUCUGCUGCACUGAUCCUUCUAGGUGGUAGAGGUUGAGGGCUUGGGAGAUUCUGUCAAAGUUCUGUUUGAGUCACACUUUUAUAAACUGGAUUGCCUGCCUCUCCCACCUCCAUCCUUUCUUUUUCUCUCCCUCUUCCACUCAUUCCUCACCACACCCCUCUUCUGCCCCUGUCUUGUAGAGGUCCAGGCUGGGUGCAGGCUGCCUUCCUGAAGCACAGCAGUGAAGUAGUUGACAAACCAGCAACUUUCAUGGUUUCUCUUUCCUGUUGUCAGCCUCCUAAAUUUACUGGGUUCAAUCAGCAAAAUUUGAAAAUCUUUGUUUUUCUGGGUUCUCUUUCACUCCCUGUUUCAGUUUUCAGUCAAUUUCACAAGGCCUUGAAGGAGCAGUCAGGAAAUUGAAACCAAACAUCAUAUCAGGAUCUGACAGUCACCAAACUAUUGCAACCUGGAUAUCAUUGGAUUAUGAUGUUGCGAGGUUGGCUACAGUAUUUGUGGCCUGGAAAGCAAUAUGUUAGAACUUGAUGUUUGUAAAAUGAGAGAGGGAAGUGUGAAUGGUUCCUUGAAAGGAUGAUGUGUGUUUGAAACAAAAUGUGCAGUUGCACAAAGAACUCCUGAAAUUGAAACAUUGUGUUAGCAACCCAGGCUGUAGUUUGUUUUGUUAUGAAGGCAACCAGUUUGAAAAUCAGCCGAUUAAUUUAAAUCAGACACUUAGAAUCUAAAAACCAAUUAAAUUUAAAUCUAAUGGUUUUGACAAUCUAGGUUCAAAUUAAGAUAUUCUGCUAUAAUAUGUGUUCUGGCAAAACAAAGUGGCUAAACGUGACUGACAAAUAGGGGUUUGCUAUUUCUAAAACGCGAACUUGUAUUGGCUGCAUGCAAUUCCAUCAGUGUGCAGUGAAGUACGUGUCGACAUCACAUGAUCAUUUUGCGAGCUUUGUCCUGAGUAUGCGCAAGGCAGCGUCAAAACAGUUUCUGCGUCACAUGGUUGUUUCACAGGCUUUGUUCUGAAUACGUGCAACUCUUUCAACAUGUGCACCAGUCCAAGUACAGCUUUUAAAGUUUAUUAUUUAAGGCGCAAAUUUAGGAGGCUGAUUGCAGCCACUAAGAGGGAUAAGGACAAUGUUCUUCCAUUCCAGAAAAGCUCAAGUAUCAAGAAUGCAGUUGACAUUAUAUGGAGGCCCAGGGUGAUGUCAGGAAGGACUGCUUGCAAACAGUCUGGUGGAAGAUCUCCCAGAUUUUCUUCUAGAUUUUAAAAGCUUUUAUCCAUCAUAGGGGCUCCCAAAAUUCAAAGAACAUUGUGUUGAUCCUGCAAAGCAAGUUUGAUUUGAGGAAGAGAAGAGAUAACAACGUGUAGAGCUGGAUGAUCACAGCAGGCCAAGCAGCAUCUUAGGAGCAGGAAAGCUGAUGUUUUGGGCCUAGACCCUUCAUCAGAAAGUGGGGAGA